UCUUACGUCCCGGAAGAAUUUGGGGCUCUUAUCGACUCUUUGCGUUAUCACUACCAGAACCGAAGCCUGUGCAAUGCGGUUACGUCGUUCAAGGGGUACGUUUUCAUUCGAAACAAAAAAUGUGUAUACAUAUUUACCUAAUUCCUUGUCAAGUAUUCAUUGUCAGUUUUUGAAAAUACUUCUUUUUAUAUUGAAUUAUAUGGCAUGCAAAUUUUCAUAUCAAUAAGAAUGAGUUGAAAUUAAUUUCCACGAUAUUCUAAGCGAUCAGAGUACGAUUCAAAUAUUAUUCAUUUUUCCUCCGUAUUUAUCGAUAAUGCGUAAAAAUUAAUUUCUAUCAGAUUCAAGGUGAUUUGAGUACAUUUCGUUGGGUCGAGGACGUACAUCUCCUGAAAUCAAGCCUGAAAAUCUUAUACGUAUAGUUUAUGCAGCACUGAAUUUCAAAGAUGUGAUGAUAGCUACUGGGAAAGUUGCUCUGAAUUCCUCUGCAUCGAUUGAACGAAAUGUUGAUUCAUUAAUAGGUCUCGAAUUUGUCGGUUUUGAUGAGAAAGGACGGCGAAUAAUGGGAAUAUGCCCAAACAGUCUUUCUUCAGGGAUCGAAGAAAAAAGUUAACAUGAUUUAUACCAUUUAAUUUUUCAGAGGAUUAUCAAAUAUAGUAAUUCACGACAAUAUCGUAUCCUGGGUUAUACCUGAUGAAUGGACAUUCGAGGAUGCUGCCACAGUUCCUUGCGUUUAUGCCACAAUCUAUUACGCGCUAUAUAUGCGUGGAAAAUUAAAAAAGGAGACAAAGUUCUUAUUCAUUUGGGCAGCGGUGGCGUUGGACAAGCCGCAAUUAAUUUAGCGCUUCAUGAAGGAUGCGAAAUAUUUACGACAGUCGGAACUUCCGAGAAACGACAAUUCAUUAAAGAAACAUUCUCCUGUAUUCCCAAUAAUCAUAUUGGCAAUUCUCACGACACAAGUUUCAAACAAAUGAUCGUUCAGCAGACACAAGGACAGGGUG